CCUACGGGAGGCAGCAGUGAGGAAUAUUGGUCAAUGGGCGUAAGCCUGAACCAGCCAAGUCGCGUGCGGGAUGAAGGUCCUAUGGAUCGUAAACCGCUUUUAUACGGGGAUAACGUGUGGGACGUGUGCUGUUUUGUAUGUACCUUAUGAAUAAGGACCGGCUAACUCCGUGCCAGCAGCCGCGGUAAUACGGAGGAGCCGAGCGUUAUCCGGAUUUAUUGGGUUUAAAGGGUGCGUAGGCGGCCUUUUAAGUCAGCGGUGAAAGUGUGUGGCUCAACCAUGGAAUGGCCGUUGAAACUGGGGGGCUUGAGUAUGCGUGAGGCAGGCGGAAUGCGUGGUGUAGCGGUGAAAUGCUUAGAUAUCACGCAGAACCCCGAUUGCGAAGGCAGCCUGCCAAGCCAUGACUGACGCUGAUGCACGAAAGCGUGGGGAUCGAACAGGAUUAGAUACCCGAGUAGUC
rnacentral:rRNA from 1 species